rnacentral:rRNA from 1 species
AACGACGCUGGCGGCAUGCCUAACACAUGCAAGUCGAACGAGACCUUCGGGUCUAGUGGCGCACGGGUGCGUAACGCGUGGGAACCUGCCUUUAGGUUCGGAAUAACAGUGAGAAAUUACUGCUAAUACCGGAUGAUGUCUUCGGACCAAAGAUUUAUCGCCUUUAGAUGGGCCCGCGUUGGAUUAGCUAGUUGGUGGGGUAAAGGCCUACCAAGGCGACGAUCCAUAGCUGGUCUGAGAGGAUGAUCAGCCACACUGGGACUGAGACACGGCCCAGACUCCUACGGGAGGCAGCAGUGGGGAAUAUUGGACAAUGGGCGAAAGCCUGAUCCAGCAAUGCCGCGUGAGUGAUGAAGGCCUUAGGGUUGUAAAGCUCUUUUACCCGAGAUGAUAAUGACAGUAUCGGGAGAAUAAGCUCCGGCUAACUCCGUG